rnacentral:lncRNA from 1 species
CUUCGUCUUGUUGGGUGCUUGGUGGUAGGCAUCAUCAUAAUCAUCAAAAUCCUCAUCAUCCAUAAAAUCAUCAUCUUCAUCAUAAUCCCACUCUUCAUCAGUGAAUUCCUCAUCCUCAGGCAGAAUGAAUUUCCCUCCUCCUUUCUGGUUCAGGAUCGGACCCGGGUCCUUGGAGGGCAUCUUGAGGUCCUUGAAUUGGGGCAGCUUGAGAUCUUGCAACGCUUUCAUCUGCUGGAGCUGCUGAAGCUGCUGCUGGUUCGGGACGUUCUUACCAUUUUUGGCAUUACCCCCGUUCUUGCCACCAUUUUUACCACCACCGCCACCUUGGCUUUGAUUAUUUCCUCCUCCGCCUUUUUUCCCACCGUUCCCAUUUUUGCCAUCAUUGUUCUGAAUAGGCGCACCUCCACCACCGCCACCUUUCUUGCCAUUAUUACCAGCACUACCUCCAACAUUUCCCCCACCCUUUUGAGCAUUCAAGAGCUGCUGGGCAUGAUUCCCAUUCAUCAUCUCAUUCAGCAUCAUCAUGUUGGGCAUCUGGCCAUUGCCCAUCAUUGGCUUCGUCUUGUUGGGUGCUUGGUGGUGGGCAUCAUCAUAGACAUCAUCAAACUCCUCAUCAUCCAUAGAAUCAUCAUCUUCAUCAUUGACUUCAUCAGACUCCUCAUCAUCCUUAGAAUCAUCAUCUUCAUCAUUGUCAUCAGACUCUUCAUCAGUGAAUUCCUCAUCCUCAGGCAGAAUGAAUUUCACUCCUCCUUUCUGGUUCAGGUUUGGACCCGGGUCCUUGAAGGGCAUCUUGAGGUCCUUGAAUUGGGGCAGCUUAUGAUCUUGGGAAGAUUUCAUCUGCUGAAGCUGCUUGAGCUGCUGGAGCUGCUGAUGGAGCUGCAGCUGGGUCGGAUGUGGAAACAGCUGCUGGCUCGGGAGGUUCUGACCACCCUUAGGCUGGUUGUUUCCAUCACCUCCGCCUCCACUGCCACCGCCCUUUUGGCCCUUGUUUCCACCUUUGGCAUUAUCAAUUUGCAUGUUCUUGAACUGGUUGUUGAGGUUGUUGUUGGACUUCUGAGCACCCCAAAGCUCUGCAUGUGUGCCUGAUUUAUUGAGCUUCUUGAUGAGUAGAGCUGGGUCUACGUUCCCUGAAACGGUCACUUUGCCCUGUUCUGCAUCUAUUUUGAGGGUGUACACCCCUGCAAUUUUUUAUAAUUGAAUGUGAUAAGUAUACUUGAACUGAGAAUUUCUAAAAUAUCACGGGAAGAAACUACUCUUUUUUUUUUUUUUUUUUUUUAAAUUUAAUAAAUCUACUAAAAUCCAGAGAGAGAGAGAGAGAGAGGUUCGAAAAAAAGAAAGAUUAAAUAAAGAGGACUGGAACUGAAAAAGGAGUAAUACCCUCAAUUUUCUGCAAGAUUUUCUUCACUUUCUGCUUACAGCCAUCACGGUGUAUGUUCACUUUUAGAACACAAGUCUGCAUGCACAAGCAAACCCAGAGAACAAAAACAGGUGUAAAGAACAAUUUCUCUCACUCCAAUAAAAGAAUAACAGAAGGAAAAAAACGAAUGAAACGAAGCUUUCUAUGCGGAGUUUCAUUCCGAAAUGUCAUUACCAAGCCUGGAAAAAGAGAUUAGUUCACAGAGAAAAACAGAGCACACACCCAAAUUGUGACACAUUAAGUCCCAAAAACUUCGACCAAAAAAUAAAAGAAGUCACAAUUUGGUACCGAAAAGUCCCGAUGAUCUUGGAACGCUUUCGUGCGCUGGUUCAGCUGUUGAAGCUGCUGCUGGUCCUCAUCCUCAGUCAGGGUGACUUUCGCUCCUCCUUUCUGGUUCAGGUUCGGACCCGGGUCCUUGAAUUGGUGCUGCAGCUUGAGAUCUUGGAACACUUUCGUCUGCAUGAAAUCUUGGUCCUCCUUCGUCUGCUGGAGCCACAGUUUGAAAUCUUGGUACUCUUUCGAUCGCUGGAGCUGCAGAAGGAAAUCUU